UGGGAAUCUGCCCUUAGGUUCGGAAUAACAGUUAGAAAUGACUGCUAAUACCGGAUAAUGUCUUCGGACCAAAGAUUUAUUGCCUAAGGAUGAGCCCGCGUAAGAUUAGCUUGUUGGUGAGGUAAAGGCUCACCAAGACGACGAUCUUUAGCUGGUCUGAGAGGAUGAUCAGCCACACGUGGGACUGAGACACCGGCCCAGACCUCCGUACGGGAGGCAG
rnacentral:rRNA from 1 species